ensembl:lncRNA
GUCGAGAUGCGGCAGAGGCAGACAGCUAGGCACAGAGGAGCCGAGUUGUAAACUUUGCUUUUCCUGAUGCUGCCUACUGUCGCGCAUACGAAGAACAUUACCUCUGUGUAGCCAGGAGCUGAGAUGCAGUCUGAAUGUGCACGGUGGCUUCUGACGUGGCAGCGUGAAUUCUCAGCUGGGCAGAGCCUAAGAGAUAUCAUCAUGGACGUGGCUUUUAAUGAUUUGCAGGGGAGAAAGAAAAAGAAAAAUGACAGCCCGUGGAGACGCCGAUUUGAGAAAGCAGCACAUUGUGGUUAUUGCCAAUUUGAAAUACUGGGUUUGUGAAGCCAAGCCCUGAGGGAGUAGCCGGGGAACUGAGAAAGAGAUCGUAGAUAAAGAAAUAAAAAUGACAAGCGUAAUGGAGGCUGUGCGAAGGGACUGUCAGAGCAUCCGUUCAUGGAUGGCAGUCCUGCCAGGCGGAGAUUGAAUAAUUCAUAGAUGGAAACUACCCUGCCUUCACCUUCCCAUUUAAACCGGGCAUGGGCUGAAUCUCUAAUAAAUUUUCAAGAUAAAGUAAAAUGCCAAUUUGAAUCUGAAGAGCUUUUAAAAGCAGAUGUCGCAUCCCCGAAUCUUUCAGUAUCUUUCACAAUUACGCUCCGAGGACUGCACUUCAUCAGGAAGCACCAUUACCAGGGAAAAUGACUGUGAUUACAAUAGCAACAAUAGAAUGCCAUCGAAUGAUCUCUAAUUUACCUAAUUUGCUAAGACUGACUGGCUUAAAUACCCAUUGUGAGUUGCUGGUGCCCUGUCCGUGGAUCUCUCUCAAGACGGAACAAAAGUGGUGGUGUGUGUGCUACCUUGGUUCACACAGUCUAGGGGAGAGCAUUCUUCUAAGUUACAGUGUCUCUUUCAUCAGCUUUUCAUCUUUGUAUUUUUAUAUUUAUAUUUUUUUUCCCUAAUGCUCUGCCCUAAAUGCCUUUUGAGGGAAAACGGCAAGCCUGUCUUUGUUAUAGAACAGCAGUGACUUGUUAAUUUUUACACUUCUUAAAUUUUAAAAUCUACAAGAUGUGUCUAUUUGAGGAAAGGCUAGAUUCAGUGCUGGGAGAAAGGUUUAACAAGCCAGCUGGGAUGGUGUGUGUGUGUGUGUGUGUGUGUGUGUGUGUGUGUGUGUGUGUGUGUGUGUUGAGCUGUUUCCUUCCUAUAAAAUUAUUUUCCUGGAUCCCUGUGGUGUGUUAAGAUCCUCUCCGACUGUGAAUCUCAGGUUGCAAAGGCAGCAUCCACUCCACAUAGCUCUUUCAGAAAGCCUGUGUGCCUGAUUCCUUGAUGCAUCAAAGCUUUUAGGCUGUGUGUCUGUGUUUGUGCCUGCUCAGUGCACAGAAGUCUGUGCUAAAGAGACCUUUCUGUCUGGCAGAGUGCCCUAUUCGUUUUGAGGUGACGGUGCCAUUCUGAAGAGGUGGCACGGGCUCUCCAUCCUCCCUGGGGAACAGAACGGGAUCAUUUAGCAGACACUGGGGUUUCUGGAAUUGUCCUUAUAGCAUGGAGACAGCAUGUGGUUCACGCCAAUCAGCAUUUGAACACUUCAGGGAGGGACCGGAGGUAUGUAUGACAGCCAUUCGAGAAGAAGGUCCCAAAUCCCUCUCUUAAAAUUUUGGGAUUGUGCUUGGGACUUAGCCCUGAUGCAGUCCUUGGUAAUUCACUCGCUGGUUUACCCACAUUGUAUGCUCCCCCUACCUGCCCCUCCCUUGCCAUAAGGUAAGUUGCGUUUCUAGUCAUUUAUAUAAUUAGCAUGGUUGAUCCUUAUUGCGUAGGAAUGUGCUGUGGAUGGUGCCUUUUCUUCCCAUUAUAACUUAUACUUUUGUGUUUCUCUGUUUUCUGAGCACAUGUUAAAAUGCAGCAUUUUGAAGCUGACUUGACUAUUGUAGGUUUUUUUCCCCCUUUCUUUUUUUCUUUCUGACUGAGUGCAUCCAAGGCUUUAAUAGUGUUUACAGCGGGGGGGGGGGGG